rnacentral:misc_RNA from 1 species
GUAGGUGAACCUGCGGAAGGAUCAUUAGCAGAGGGGGAGAGGGGGGAGGGUGUGGAAAAGGGAGAAAUACCCUUGAUGCACCGCCCAAACACAUUAACGCUUGUUGGGUAUGACUGGUAAAAUGGAGAAUGAAUAGACACAACUUUUAACAAUGGAUCUCUUGGCUCUU